GUAGGUGAACCUGCGGAAGGAUCAUUAAAGAGACGUUGCCCUUCGGGGUAUACCUCCCACCCUUUGUUUAUUAUACCUUUGUUGCUUUGGCGGGCCCGUCCUCGGACCACCGGCUUCGGCUGGUCAGUGCCCGCCAGAGGACCUAAAACUCUGUUUGUUCAUAUUGUCUGAGUACUAUAUAAUAGUUAAAACUUUCAACAACGGAUCUCUUGGUUCUGGCAUCGAUGAAGAACGCAGCAUCUGACUGACU
rnacentral:misc_RNA from 1 species